UACAGAGGGUGCGAGCGUUAAUCGGAUUUACUGGGCGUAAAGCGCGCGUAGGCGGCUUUGCAGGUCGGGUGUGAAAUCCCCAGGCUUAACCUGGGAACUGCAUUCGAGACUGCAUUGCUAGAGUAUGGGAGAGGGAAGUGGAAUUUCCGGUGUAGCGGUGAAAUGCGUAGAUAUCGGAAGGAACAUCAGUGGCGAAAGCGACUUCCUGGACCAAUACUGACGCUCAUGUGCGAAAGCGUGGGGAGCAAACAGG
rnacentral:rRNA from 1 species